AUACUUACGUGGCAGGGGAGAUACCAUGAUUAUGAAGGUGGUUUUCCCAGGGCGAGUCUCAUCCAUUGUACUCUGGAUGCGCUGACCCCUGCGAUUUCCCCAACUGAGGGACAUUCGGCUGCAUAACUUGUGGUAGUGGGGGGCCUGUGUUCGCACUUUCCCUUG